GAGUUUGAUCCUGGCUCAGAUUGAACGCUGGCGGCAGGCCUAACACAUGCAAGUCGAACGGUAACAGAAAGCAGCUUGCUGCUUUGCUGACGAGUGGCGGACGGGUGAGUAAUGUCUGGGAAACUGCCUGAUGGAGGGGGAUAACUACUGGAAACGGUAGCUAAUACCGCAUAAUGUCGCAAGACCAAAGAGGGGGACCUUCGGGCCUCUUGCCAUCGGAUGUGCCCAGAUGGGAUUAGCUAGUAGGUGGGGUAACGGCUCACCUAGGCGACGAUCCCUAGCUGGUCUGAGAGGAUGACCAGCCACACUGGAACUGAGACACGGUCCAGACUCCUACGGGAGGCAGCAGUGGGGAAUAUUGCACAAUGGGCGCAAGCCUGAUGCAGCCAUGCCGCGUGUAUGAAGAAGGCCUUCGGGUUGUAAAGUACUUUCAGCGGGGAGGAAGGGAGUAAAGUUAAUACCUUUGCUCAUUGACGUUACCCGCAGAAGAAGCACCGGCUAACUCCGUGCCAGCAGCCGCGGUAAUACGGAGGGUGCAAGCGUUAAUCGGAAUUACUGGGCGUAAAGCGCACGCAGGCGGUUUGUUAAGUCAGAUGUGAAAUCCCCGGGCUCAACCUGGGAACUGCAUCUGAUACUGGCAAGCUUGAGUCUCGUAGAGGGGGGUAGAAUUCCAGGUGUAGCGGUGAAAUGCGUAGA
rnacentral:rRNA from 1 species